GUUAGGAAUAUUGGACAAUGGGCGCAAGCCUGAUCCAGCCAUGCCGCGUGAGUGAUGAAGGCCUUCGGGUUGUAAAGCUCUUUAGCCGAUGAUUAUAAUGACUGUAGUCGGAAAAUAAGCCCCGGCUAACUUCGUGCCAGCAGCCGCGGUAAUACGAAGGGGGCGAGCGUUAUUCGGAAUCACUGGGCGUAAAGCGUGCGUAGGCGGCUUUGCAAGUUGGGAGUGAAAGCCCAGGGCUCAACCCUGGAAGUGCUCUCAAAACUGCAAGGCUCGAAUUCGGGAGAGGAGAGCGGAAUUGUCAGUGUAGCAGUGAAAUGCGUAGAUAUUGACAGGAACACCAGUGGCGUAAGCGGCUAUCUGGACCGAUAUUGACGCUGAGGCACGAAAGCGUGGGGAUCAAACAGGAUUAGAAACCCUGGUAGUCC
rnacentral:rRNA from 1 species